AUGAACGCUGGCGGCGUGCCUAAUACAUGCAAGUCGAGCGAACGGACGAGAAGCUUGCUUCUCUGAUGUUAGCGGCGGACGGGUGAGUAACACGUGGAUAACCUACCUAUAAGACUGGGAUAACUUCGGGAAACCGGAGCUAAUACCGGAUAAUAUUUUGAACCGCAUGGUUCAAAAGUGAAAGACGGUCUUGCUGUCACUUAUAUAUGGAUCCGCGCUGCAUUAGCUAGUUGGUAAGGUAACGGCUUACCAAGGCAACGAUGCAUAGCCGACCUGAGAGGGUGAUCGGCCACACUGGAACUGAGACACGGUCCAGACUCCUACGGGAGGCAGCAGUAGGGAAUCUUCCGCAAUGGGCGAAAGCCUGACGGAGCAACGCCGCGUGAGUGAUGAAGGUCUUCGGAUCGUAAAACUCUGUUAUUAGGGAAGAACAUAUGUGUAAGUAACUGUGCACAUCUUGACGGUACCUAAUCAGAAAGCCACGGCUAACUACGUG
rnacentral:rRNA from 1 species